UAGUCAUAUGCUUGUCUCAAAGAUUAAGCCGUGCAUGUCUAAGUAUGAGCAAUCUAUACCGUGAAACUGCGAAUGGCUCAUUAAAUCAGUUAUCGUUUAUUUGAUAGUACCUUACUAAUUGGAUAACCGUGGUAAUUCUAGAGCUAAUACAUGCUAAAAGCCCCGACUUCGGAAGGGGCGUAUUUAUUAGAUAAAAAACCAAUGCCCUUCGGGGCUCCUUGGUGAUUCAUAAUAACUUAACGAAUCGCAUGGCCUUGUGCCGGCGAUGGUUCAUUCAAAUUUCUGCCCUAUCAACUUUCGAUGGUAGGAUAGUGGCCUACCAUGGUUUCAACGGGUAACGGGGAAUUAGGGUUCUAUUCCGGAGAGGGAGCCUGAGAAACGGCUACCACAUCCAAGGAAGGCAGCAGGCGCGCAAAUUACCCAAUCCCGACACGGGGAGGUAGUGACAAUAAAUACUGAUACAGGGCUCUUUUGGGUCUUGUAAUUGGAAUGAGUACAAUUUAAACCCCUUAACGAGGAACAAUUGGGGGGCAAGUCUGGUGCCAGCAGCC
rnacentral:rRNA from 1 species